rfam:Triticum aestivum genome assembly, contig: Triticum_aestivum_CS42_TGACv1_scaffold_225660_3B
CAGGUACUCUCUCCGUUCGGAAUUACCUGUCAUAAAAAUGAAUGUAUCUACAACUAAAAUACAUCUAGAUACAUUCAUUUCUGGGACGAGUAAUUCCGAACCGAGGGAGUAGGUU